rnacentral:sRNA from 1 species
UCGCAGUUACUAAGGCGUGGGGAAGAUAGCGGCAGGCACCGCAGUGGAGCGGCUCCGAGAUCCCCGGGGGGCUCGCAGGCGCGCAUCCCUCCUGACUGGGACGUCGCCUCCGCAGACCCCUCGGAGGCUGAAGCGACGCCGGAGGCAGGCAAAGAAACAAGUGAAGAAACAAAAAAAAAAGGAAGUUAAGGGGCCAUUCUCAAAGUCAAAGAUCAAGCCAAGGACACUGGUUGGUGGUUCAGAAAGGUAACCUCAAGAAGAAGCCCAAGGGUUUGGUUGGAGCACAAGCUGAACGUCGGGAAAGCCUGAAGGCGACUUCUUUUGAGUUCAAGGGGAAGAAAGGGUCUCGGCGGGAAAAUCAGGUGGACCUUCCUGGACGUAUCCUGGACCAGGCUUUUCUGCUGAAGCACCACUGUGUGAGGAAGCCAUCAGAUCUGUGCACCAUUAAUGUGAGUGGCCUGAAGUUCUCCAAGGCCAAGGAAAAUGACUUCAAGCAUUUUCAUUCUGUGAUUUAUAUCAAUGCCUCAGAAAACCUGCUGCCUCUAGAGGCAUUUCACAUGUUUCCAGCCCUAAAGGAACUGGAUCUCGCAUUUAAUGGCAUCAAAACUAUCUACGUGAAAUAUGGAGACUUUAAGUUGUUAGAAUUCUUGGACCUUUCCUUCAACAGCCUGACUGUGGAGGCCAUCUGUGAUUUGGGGAUUCUGCCACACCUCCGUGUCCUGCUCCUCACAGGCAAUGGCCUCACCUCCCUGCCGCCCAAUUUGGCCGUCGCAGAACAAUAGAGGAUCUAGGCCCAGAGAUGCUCAACACCAGCCGGAAGUCACACAGCAAGCAAAGCAGCAGCAGCACCAGAGCCAGAGCUCAGGGAUCCU